GACGAACGCUGGCGGCGUGCCUAAUACAUGCAAGUAGAACGCUGAAGGAGGAGCUUGCUUCUCUGGAUGAGUUGCGAACGGGUGAGUAACGCGUAGGUAACCUGCCUGGUAGUGGGGGAUAACUAUUGGAAACGAUAGCUAAUACCGCAUAAUAGCAGUUGUUGCAUGAUAACUGUUUGAAAGGUGCAAUUGCACCGCUACCAGAUGGACCUGCGUUGUAUUAGCUAGUUGGUGGGGUAACGGCUCAACAAGGCGACGAUACAUAGCCGACCUGAGAGGGUGAUCGGCCAAACUGGGACUGAGACACGGCCCAGACUCCUACGGGAGGCAGCAGUAGGGAAUCUUCGGCAAUGGACGGAAGUCUGACCGAGCAACGCCGCGUGAGUGAAGAAGGGUUUCGGAUCGUAAAGCUCUGUUGUAAGAGAAGAACGAGUGUGAGAGUGGAAAGUUCACACUGUGACGGUAUCUUACCAGAAAGGGACGGCUAACUACGUG
rnacentral:rRNA from 1 species